rnacentral:lncRNA from 1 species
GAGAUACGAGAUUUCUCUUCUCUCGUAAAAAAUAUAUAUAUAUAUUUCACUCGUACGCUUGGCCUCCUACUCAGUUGCUCUUUGGGUUCGUCACGCAAUCUUCCUCUCCCACGAACGUUUGCUGAAACACAGGGUUAUUUCUGAUCGCAGUGCACUUCCCUAUCUAGGCAGCAAACUUUGGACGCACAGAAAUUUUGCGAGAGACUUCAACGGAUACCAAAGUGGCCUUUCAACGAGUAUGUGGACAAAAGGUUUAACAAAAGGUUUUAUCGGCAAGCCAUAGAGUAUUUAACACGCGAAGAGGUAGAUGGACGUGUUCGUACGUAGGCAUUCGUUUGGCUAGUCCCUUGUAAAUACUGGAAGCCUGCGCAAGCUUGAGAAAUGAUGAGGAAACCCCCCAAAAUGCUAGAGUGGCCUCUUUCACCAAGUGUCUGAGACAUUUAUGGUGUUCUGUUUAAAUCCCCCUCGAGAAACUAUAGUGUAUAUCACCGUGAAAAAGAUGAAGUGUACGUAAAUCUACUAAUCCGGACGGGAUUAGACCAGUCAUAUUUACUUUGAAAGCGUUGUCGUUGACAUGACACACAACAGUUGGCGUUAUCGUUUUCGCCCCAAGGGAGCCUGGCCUGGCUCUAAAGCAAUUUCCACGUGAUCUCCAGCUGAUCUAAACGAGCAAAGGGAAAGGAAUGUGCUGUUUGUUUCAGUAGACGUUUGUGGGGAAGGAAAGAUUAUGUGACGAUCCCAAAGAGCGUCAGCCUAGGAGGCUAUCGUUCGCUCGGCUCAUUCGACGCGUGCCGACGCGUGCGAGGGAGGUUGAUCUUAGCUACGAUCCCAGGCGCUCUCUGGGAUCGAGGUUGAUUUGAUCGAGGCUUGGCAGCAAAGCGUGUAAUCGAUACAUUUUUCUGACCUGAGCCUCACCUGGGAGAAACAGAGGGCGUAGCAGAAGGCGAAAAAAUGAAUGGUGGGUUUUGCUCUGUUUCUGCGCCCCGUUUUGUUUCAAAGAUCACCAGCUAAAGAAGCGACCAGAUUGUGUUGCCUCGGGAGGAGUGCACUUGGCGAGUUCUGUGCAACCAGAUGUGUUUUCAGGCAUUCAAGGAAGGUUUUUCGAAGGCUGUUAAACUCUUUCCCUCGCUCUGUUUUGGAACCCGAAGAAAUCGAACGACCGAAAUAGACAUCUGUCUUUGAGCUUCGAUUGCGCGCCAUUUCUGACCAUUUUCUGUUGAAGGAGUGGAGAUGAUGGCGAGUUACUUGGUUCGGCAAAGGCUUUCAGAUUCAAAUGAGUAUUCAUGGCUGAUGCUGCAAGAUGUUAAAGUUUCGUCCAGCUAAAUGCAAACCAGUAAAUCCGAGAAGCUGAAAUGUGUUGUGGAAGCUUGCAUGAGGAAGAGGAAGGUAUGCAAAUAGCGUUCGUCAAUGAAAACUCGUUAUUGCUCAGGAUAAAGGAAAGAGUAACAGUUUAGGUUUUUCAAGUUAAGGUAUAUGUUUUUUGUGGCUCUGCGGCUCGACGGCUCGCCAGUUGGUUUCAUUGUUUCGUGAACGAGUAGGGUAUAUUUUUUAGUGGCUCGGUGGCUCGAUGGCUCGCCAGUUGCAUUCAGAGUGUUAUGGAAAGAUAAAAGUAUACUUGUAAGAACAUUUCAAAUACAUUAACGGAGCGAACUUUAUUUGAACUGUAAAAUUAACUAGCCAAUUAAAAAAUAUGAGAAUUAAAAAUACAAACAGUAGUUGGUCCC